rnacentral:hammerhead_ribozyme from 1 species
GUAUUGCUGAAGAGUCCCAAAUCAGUGCGACGAAACAGCUGUCCAGUAC